GAUGGCUCUCUCUGUGCUUUUUCUAAAAUAAUGGCUAUGUGAGCAACUUUAUUUUAGAAAAGGCAUCAACUUCAACAACAUUCCAACCUGUGGCUGCAGAUGCAUCUCAACAAUUUACUUCAGCAAGGUGCUUGAUGCUGGAACAUAAUUAUAGUUUUAUUAGCAAGCCUAAAAGAACAGCUGGAAAAGAUCUAAUGGCUCCACAGUGCACAAAGAUCAAGCGUAUUAUGGUGAACAUAUGUGGGUGAAGACGAAACAAAAACAGCUGCCCAAC